UCCCUGGUAGUAUAUCGGUUAGUACACGCGCCUGUCAUAGGUCUGGGUCGCGCGAAAGCUGGGUUCGACUCCCAGCCAGGGAG